rnacentral:rRNA from 1 species
CCUACGGGAGGCAGCAGUAGGGAAUCUUCCACAAUGGGCGAAAGCCUGAUGGAGCAACGCCGCGUGGGUGAAGAAGGUCUUCGGAUCGUAAAACCCUGUUGUUAGAGAAGAAAGUGCGUGAGAGUAACUGUUCACGUUUCGACGGUAUCUAACCAGAAAGCCACGGCUAACUACGUGCCAGCAGCCGCGGUAAUACGUAGGUGGCAAGCUUUAUCCGGAUUUAUUGGGCGUAAAGGGAACGCAGGCGGUCUUUUAAGUCUGAUGUGAAAGCCUUCGGCUUAACCGGAGUAGUGCAUUGGAAACUGGGAGACUGGAGUGCAGAAGAGGAGAGUGGAACUCCAUGUGUAGCGGUGAAAUGCGUAGAUAUAUGGAAGAACACCAGUGGCGAAAGCGGCUCUCUGGUCUGUAACUGACGCUGAGGUUCGAAAGCGUGGGUAGCAAACAGGAUUAGAUACCCCGGUAGUC